GCGACCGCGAAGCGGCAGGCCGAGAAAGGGCGAGAGGCGAUGCGUCGCGGAGGCCACCAUGGCGGGAGACGAGAUCGGAGGAGCGAAGAGCGGAGUGGAAUAAAGGAAAAGAAAUUGUUUAAUUAAAAUUCAUGGGAAUAUAUUUAAGCCACGUGGCGUGCUCGCGAUCACCGAGCGGGGCUAUCGCCUGGGAAAGCAUAACCAUGACUGAGAAAACAUUUUCCUUUGAUGAUGGGUGAAAAUUUAAAAAAAAAGAUACUGCUCAAAUUUCUGGUAUCUGCUAAGUAUUGGUGUAAUAGCAUAACAAAAGGCCUUCACAACCAUUAUAAUGUUAUAGCAUAUAUUAUCUUAAACUUUGGUCAUCAGUUACAGAUAUUUGGAUGGAGGAUGAUCUGUCCACAGUUAUAAGUUGGCUUGAUGAUAAAGGGGUCUCUCUUCAUCUUUGCAUCUCCAGAUUUUUUUCUCUCAAAUCGCAAGGCAUUCCUUGCAUGCUUCUCAUAUUUACUAGGAUUGUUUGGCAGGCUAAUUGUCUCCACUAGCUAAAGGUGUGUGUACUCAUCGAACACUGAUGUUCGGUAUUGAUUCGUCUAUAGCUCAAAG
rnacentral:lncRNA from 1 species